GUGGUGGAAUGGUAGACACACUAGACUCAAAAUCUUGUGCUAAAGAGCAUGGAGGUUCGAAUCCUCU
rnacentral:tRNA from 1 species